GAUGAACGCUGGCGGCGUGCCUAAUACAUGCAAGUCGAGCGAACGGACGAGAAGCUUGCUUCUCUGAUGUUAGCGGCGGACGGGUGAGUAACACGUGGAUAACCUACCUAUAAGACUGGGAUAACUUCGGGAAACCGGAGCUAAUACCGGAUAAUAUUUUGAACCGCAUGGUUCAAAAGUGAAAGACGGUCUUGCUGUCACUUAUAGAUGGAUCCGCGCUGCAUUAGCUAGUUGGUAAGGUAACGGCUUACCAAGGCAACGAUGCAUAGCCGACCUGAGAGGGUGAUCGGCCACACUGGAACUGAGACACGGUCCAGACUCCUACGGGAGGCAGCAGUAGGGAAUCUUCCGCAAUGGGCGAAAGCCUGACGGAGCAACGCCGCGUGAGUGAUGAAGGUCUUCGGAUCGUAAAACUCUGUUAUUAGGGAAGAACAUAUGUGUAAGUAACUGUGCACAUCUUGACGGUACCUAAUCAGAAAGCCACGGCUAACUACGUGCCAGCAGCCGCGGUAAUACGUAGGUGGCAAGCGUUAUCCGGAAUUAUUGGGCGUAAAGCGCGCGUAGGCGGUUUUUUAAGUCUGAUGUGAAAGCCCACGGCUCAACCGUGGAGGGUCAUUGGAAACUGGAAAACUUGAGUGCAGAAGAGGAAAGUGGAAUUCCAUGUGUAGCGGUGAAAUGCGCAGAGAUAUGGAGGAACACCAGUGGCGAAGGCGACUUUCUGGUCUGUAACUGACGCUGAUGUGCGAAAGCGUGGGGAUCAAACAGGAUUAGAUACCCUGGUAGUCCACGCCGUAAACGAUGAGUGCUAAGUGUUAGGGGGUUUCCGCCCCUUAGUGCUGCAGCUAACGCAUUAAGCACUCCGCCUGGGGAGUACGACCGCAAGGUUGAAACUCAAAGGAAUUGACGGGGACCCGCACAAGCGGUGGAGCAUGUGGUUUAAUUCGAAGCAACGCGAAGAACCUUACCAAAUCUUGACAUCCUCUGACCCCUCUAGAGAUAGAGUUUUCCCCUUCGGGGGACAGAGUGACAGGUGGUGCAUGGUUGUCGUCAGCUCGUGUCGUGAGAUGUUGGGUUAAGUCCCGCAACGAGCGCAACCCUUAAGCUUAGUUGCCAUCAUUAAGUUGGGCACUCUAAGUUGACUGCCGGUGACAAACCGGAGGAAGGUGGGGAUGACGUCAAAUCAUCAUGCCCCUUAUGAUUUGGGCUACACACGUGCUACAAUGGACAAUACAAAGGGCAGCGAAACUGCGAGGUCAAGCAAAUCCCAUAAAGUUGUUCUCAGUUCGGAUUGUAGUCUGCAACUCGACUAUAUGAAGCUGGAAUCGCUAGUAAUCGUAGAUCAGCAUGCUACGGUGAAUACGUUCCCGGGUCU
rnacentral:rRNA from 1 species